GACGAACGCUGGCGGCGUGCUUAACACAUGCAAGUCGAACGGUAAAGCCCUGCUUUUUUUGUGUGCUCGUGUCGCGCGCGUGUGUGUCACACGUGCGUCCCCUCCCCUUCUCUGUGAUAUACCCUCAAGACACUGGGUCUUAUACCGUAUCAGCUCUCCUGCUGCAUUCUGCAGUUUGGAAAGUUUCUGCGGUUGGGGAUGGACUCCCGGCUUAUCAGCUUGUUGUUGGGGUAAUGGCUUACCAAGGCUUUGACGGGUAGCCGGCCUGAGAGGGUGACCGGCCACAGUGGGACUGAGAUACGGCCCAGACUCCUACGGGAGGCAGCAGUGGGGAAUAUUGCACAAUGGGCGGAAGCCUGAUGCAGCAACGCCGCGUGAGGGAUGACGGCCUUCGGGUUGUAAACCGCUUUCGCCAGGGAAGAAGCGUGAGUGACGGUAAUGGGUAAAGAAGCACCGGCUAACUACGUG
rnacentral:rRNA from 1 species